rnacentral:rRNA from 1 species
GUCGAACGGCAGCAUAGAGAGCUUGCUCUCUGAUGGCGAGUGGCGAACGGGUGAGUAAUAUAUCGGAACGUACCUAGUAAUGGGGAACAACUAGCCGAAAGGUUAGCUAAUACCGCAUACGACCUACGGGUGAAAGCAGGGGAUCUUCGGACCUUGCGUUAUUAGAGCGGCCGAUAUCUGAUUAGGUAGUUGGUGGGGUAAAAGCCUACCAAGCCAACGAUCAGUAGCUGGUCUGAGAGGACGAUCAGCCACACUGGAACUGAGACACGGUCCAGACUCCUACGGGAGGCAGCAGUGGGGAAUUUUGGACAAUGGGGGCAACCCUGAUCCAGCCAUUCCGCGUGAGUGAAGAAGGCCUUCGGGUUGUAAAGCUCUUUCACAAGAGAAGAAAUCUUACUAUCAAAUAAAUAGUAAGGAUGACGGUAUCUUGAGAAGAAGCACCGGCUAACUACGUGCCAGCAGCCGCGGUAAUACGUAGGGUGCGAGCGUUAAUCGGAAUUACUGGGCGUAAAGCGUGCGCAGGCGGUUUUAUAAGUCAGAUGUGAAAUCCCCGAGCUCAACUUGGGAACUGCGUUUGAAACUGUAAGACUAGAGUGUGUCAGAGGGGGGUAGAAUUCCAUGUGUAGCAGUGAAAUGCGUAGAUAUAUGGAGGAAUACCAAUGGCGAAGGCAGCCCCCUGGGAUAACACUGACGCUCAUGCACGAAAGCGUGGGGAGCAAACAGGAUUAGAUACCCUGGUAGUCCACGCCCUAAACGAUGUCUACUAGUUGUUGGUGGAGUAAAAUCCAUGAGUAACGCAGCUAACGCGUGAAGUAGACCGCCU